rnacentral:rRNA from 1 species
CCCUUAGAUGUUCUGGGCCGCACGCGCGCUACACUGAAUGGAUCAACGUGUUUUCCCUUCCCGAGAGGGACGGGUAACCCGCUGAACCCCAUUCGUGGUAGGGAUCGGAGCUUGCAAUUGUUCUCCGUGAACCAGGAAUUCCCAGUAAGCGCAAGUCAUAAGCUUGCGUUGAUUACGUCCCUGCCCUUUGUACACACCGCCCGUCGCUCCUACCGAUUGAAUGGUCCGGUGAAGCGUUCGGACCGUGGCCUUUGGACGGUUCGCCGUCUGUUGGCUGCGGGAAGUUCGUUAAACCUUNUNAUUUAGNGGAAGGAGAANUCGUANCA